UCCGCCUCUAAAAAUGUUGAAUUUGUCCCUCUUCAAUGAACAUUUCUAGCUCCUCCUGUUGUGGAUGAUGAAUUUUCUUCACAUUUUUUCGUGUGUUUAUUUCUUGCUCAGCUUGCAGAAGUAUGUAUUCCGGUGGAUAUGCAUGAGUUUCGAUGUAGCUCACAAGAGAGUUUGAACAUUGCAUCUCAGCUCCGCAGAUUUGUCUGAGGUAAGGGCGGAGAAAAACAAGUUGCUCCUAACCUCCAUCUUUCAAAGCUCUUAGCUGGAUUCAAGUAUUGUAUUGGCGAUUUAGUUCCCUGACUCUCGAUUUUCACUGGUGAACCUUUUUUGUUGGUUGAUAUAGCUUAAGCUAAUUAACAAUCUCACAGUUAUUUUGCCCUUGUGCUGGCCAUAAACAAUCUUAUAAAUGUAAUAACUGUGAGAUAUUGUGGUCUUUCUUAUUCCCUUCCCCAUGCUUGGUUGUAUGUGUUUCUAAUCUUUCUUGUGCUA